AGAGUGUCUGGUUUUUGCUCUUAGCUAGUGCUAUCUUAACAUAACACAUGGUUCUUUAUGGGUACAAGGGAGUGAAAGGCUUACCAUUUAUUCUUGAUGGAUAAAAUCUAAAAGCUAAUGUGAGUGACUAUUAGAGUUUCUUUGAUGGUCAAUAUAUAUUCCCAACACCAGUGCGUGAUAUUGAAAAAAUUAGUAAUAAGGAUUCAGGGUUGAUAGAAAAUGGGGGGUAAAAUUGGUGCCAGCAGCCGCGGUCACACCAAUCCCCAUAUUAGUUCGUUCGUAAGAAAGAAAUGGUUGAAUAUUAAAAUGCAUAAAGUAGAUUAAUAGUAUAAUAUAAUCUAUAAAGUCUUUUGUAAUUUUAUUAAUCUUAAAUCUUAGAAAUCUGUUUAUGAGACCGGGAUUAGAUACCCCGUUAUUAAUGAUGUCCUACUUUUUACGGUGAGUACGAGUAUUAAUUUGCUUAAAAGCUAUAAAACUUGGCGGUACAUCACACUCCUUCAGGGGAACUUGACGGUUAAAUCGAUGAUCCUCGAAGGACCUUACCUUUUUUAUUCUUGCUAUACCGCCGUUGACAGUUGGUUCUUUAAAGAGAAAAUUUUUCUUUAAAAGUCGGAUAUUUAUCCAUGCUUUAAAAUUCAGGUAAACGUAGUGGUUGAAAAAAGGGCUUAGUUGAGUUACUUUAUUUAUAAGGAAUUGUUAGUUGAAAACCUAACCUAAACUUGGACUUGAUAGUAAUAUAUCAGUUAGAGAUUCUAUGUGAAUUGGAUAUUGAUGUGUGUACAAAUUGCCCGACGCCCCCGUAGAAGUUAUGGGGUAAGUCGUAACAUGGUAAUACUACCAGAAGGUGGUAUUUUUAUUAA
rnacentral:ncRNA from 1 species